AUGUUUAUUUAAAUAAAUUAAAAAAUAAAGGGCAAAAUAGUUUUUUUAGGUAAGACAGGGACCAAGCUCGCAACAAAAACAAACAGUAGGAACUUCCGAGUUAAAAAAUAAAUUAGGGACCAAACGUGCAAAUUACCCAAACCAUAGGGACCAUUCGUGUAAUUUACUCUUUCAUUUUGUUGCGAGUCCAUUUUGUUUUGAUUUUUUAUAAAGUGAUGAUUUUGCCCUCGCUAUUUUCUUUUUUCAGUUUUUAUUACAAAAAUCUAAAAAAUAAAAGAAAAGAAAAAAGAAAAUACUCAUAUAUCUCUCUCUCUCUCUCGUUUUAACCUCCGGUGAAGGAAGGGAAGGAGGAACUGGCGAUUUCACAAAUUCUUCCUUGACUCACCGGAAAAACGGGCUCCCCUUCUUCGUGACUACUCAACCACCAUCGAUCCACUUCAGUUGUCCGAGCCUAAGCCUGACCUCCUAGGUCAGACCAUCGUACUUGGGUUUUCAACCACCGUCGUUUAGAUCUACAAUGCCACUGUUAUCGUCGUUCUUCUACAAGAGUCAUCUUCUACACACCUAAAAUCGAUACACACACCGAUUCAGAGAAGAACAAGAGAGAGGGACAUGAUUGACAUUUGAUUCAAUCAUUAGAAAGGUCGCAAAACUUUCUACGCUGUAAAUCGUAAUCCCUUUCAUCUGUAAUCGUAAUCCCUUUCACCUGUAAAUUGUAAUCCCAAGCAGAUUUAUGACCUCGAUUUGCUACUUAGCUCUGGCAUUCUUCGUCAGUCAAUCAAGUAUUUCACCAGAUUGCAUAUCGGAGGAGUAAAGUUUAAGAGAAAGCGGGAAAUGGCAUCCCAAUCCUAGCAUCAUCAAGCAAGUAUUUUAGGGUUAUGGGCUGGCUAGUGUCAGUUUUUCCUUGUACUGAUUUGGGGUAUACGGUGUCUGCGAUUCAGGGAGAGGGAUAAAACGGGUCCAGUUUGCCCUCAUCUUCAUGUUUAUUGAGUUGUUUGUGUGCUUGUGGGUUUGAGUUGGGCAGUUCAUAGAAGAAAUCGAUUCAGGUGGUGGUGAUGGCAGUUUAUCAGAAAUCGAUUUCUGGGUUCGUGAAUAUGAUGUUCUUGUUCUUGAACUAAAAAAAAACACAAGUGUUCUUGAGAUUCAUAUUUA